rnacentral:rRNA from 1 species
CUCCACCAACCUAGCUCUCUUUCCCCAAUCCCCUUCUCCCGCACGAACCCUAGCAAUCGACAGCCGCCACAUCCUCACUCGUCCCAGCCGCCUCCAGCUUGCUUCCUCCUCCUCAAUCCUCCUGCAUUGGUCACGCCCCUCCUCCCGCAUCUCACCCAUCUCGAUGAAUCUGAGGCGUGCGGGCACGGAGGCGAGGUUCUCCGGCGGCGACUGGAACCUCCAGGCAGAGGGCGACCCCAUGGAUCCGUCCCUGUAGGAGCGAGAAGGAAGGAGAGGAUGUAGAUAUUGAGGAAAGAGGAGACCGGCCACGGAGAUGGGAUGAGAACGUCCAUGCCGAGCCAAUCGAGCCACACCUCCGGUGCGCGACCCCAGGGAGGAUUUUGCGCUGCCGUCUUCUUGAGCCAGCCUGUGCCCUGGAAGAAGGACACCAGCCGAGAAGGAUGACGUGGAGGAAAGGAUGACGUGGAGGAGGGGCUGCCUUUUCCUCGGAGAGGAGGUCGACCGUCCGAGGCAUUGUGUGGGAAUGAAGCAAAAAGCAUGAAGAAAAUAGAGCAGGUCGUGUGUCGUCGUGCACGUAGUCUGACUUCCAUUGGCGUAAUUUGUGAACAAUCAGUACUGCACCAGGUUAUCUACAGAGGAAUGCAAGGAUAACUAGAUUAAACAUUUCACAAGAUCCUCCCAAAUACAGGAACAAACUCCUUUCAAGAUAUUAUGAGUGUGCUUGAUUACCGGGGAUUGUCAGAUGAAAAGAAGGACAUCGGCGAGAAGGGGCUCUCUGAGGCGGCUGCACUCGGUCCCCCAUGCAGCCACGCACCACAUCGUCCGGCGACGUUGAUGUCGCUGCUGCCUCAGAGACCUGGAUGAUUCUGUUGUUGGCUUCUGCUAUACUCUCUCUCUCUCUCUCUCUCAGUGGUGUAGGCAGAUUAAAAUGGCAGAUUCAUUCUGUAGGGAUUUGGUUAGGAGAUGAUUCAAGAUUUUGAUUAGGAAUGGUCUAGAUGUGGAUAUGAGUCAAUAAUGUUCCUCUACGUCCAGUUUGAAAGAAGAGAGUGGGUUCUCAAAUACAGUGAGAUCUUGGUUGGAGAGUGAGUAAUGCAAUAGUCUGCGUGUAGUAUGAGGUUGGAACUAAUGCUAAAUAUACUAUUGUUGGAACUAAUACUAAAUAUACAAUUUUGGUUUCUG